GUCUACGACCACACCUAGGCGAAAACACCAGUUCCCGUCCGAUCACUCUUGUUAAGUAAAAAUGUCUGAAGGUCUCGUUCGUACUAAUGUUUGGAGACAACAUGGGAAUCCGAGGUGCUCUAGGCU
rnacentral:rRNA from 1 species